rnacentral:rRNA from 1 species
UUUUGGAAAUCCUUCGGGAUUGGAAUUCUCGACUUAGUGGCGGACGGGUGAGUAACGCGUGAGCAAUCUGCCUUUAAGAGGGGGAUAACAGUCGGAAACGGCUGCUAAUACCGCAUAAAGCAUUGAAUUCGCAUGUUUUCGAUGCCAAAGGAGCAAUCCGCUUUUAGAUGAGCUCGCGUCUGAUUAGCUAGUUGGCGGGGUAACGGCCCACCAAGGCGACGAUCAGUAGCCGGACUGAGAGGUUGAACGGCCACAUUGGGACUGAGACACGGCCCAGACUCCUACAGGAGGCAGCAGUGGGGAAUAUUGCGCAAUGGGGGAAACCCUGACGCAGCAACGCCGCGUGAUUGAAGAAGGCCUUCGGGUUGUAAAGAUCUUUAAUCAGGGACGAAACAUGACGGUACCUGAAGAAUAAGCUCCGGCUAACUACGUGCCAGCAGCCGCGGUAAUACGUAGGGAGCAAGCGUUAUCCGGAUUUACUGGGUGUAAAGGGCGCGCAGGCGGGCCGGCAAGUUGGAAGUGAAAUCCGGGGGCUUAACCCCCGAACUGCUUUCAAAACUGCUGGUCUUGAGUGAUGGAGAGGCAGGCGGAAAUCCGUGUGUAGCGGUGAAAUGCGUAGAUAUACGGAGGAACACCAGUGGCGAAGGCGGCCUGCUGGACAUUACUGACGCUGA